GGAGAGUUGUCCGAGCUGGUCGAAGGAGCACGACUGGAAAUCGUGUAAGCCGUCAACGCGGCUUCGAGGGUUCGAAUCCCUUGCUCUCCGCCA
rnacentral:tRNA from 1 species